rnacentral:rRNA from 1 species
AACGAACGCUGGCGGCAUGCCUAACACAUGCAAGUCGAACGAGAGCUUCGGGUCUAUUGGCGCAUGGGUGCGUAACGCGUGGGAACCUGCCCUUAGGUUCGCAAUAACUCCCCGAAAGGGGUGCUAAUACCGGUUAAUGUCUUCGGACCAAAGAUUUAUCGCCUUUGGAUGGGCCCGCGUUGGAUUAGCUAGUUGGUAGGGUAAAAGCCUACCAAGGCGACGAUCCAUAGCUGGUCUGAGAGGAUGAUCAGCCACACUGGGACUGAGACACGGCCCAGACUCCUACGGGAGGCAGCAGUGGGGAAUAUUGGACAAUGGGCGAAAGCCUGAUCCAGCAAUGCCGCGUGAGUGAUGAAGGCCUUAGGGUUGUAUAGCUCUUUUACCCGGGAUGAUAAUGACAGUACCGGGAGAAUAAGCUCCGGCUAACUCCGUG